rnacentral:rRNA from 1 species
GAUGAACGCUGGCGGCGUGCCUAAUACAUGCAAGUCGAGCGAACGGACGAGAAGCUUGCUUCUCUGAUGUUAGCGGCGGACGGGUGAGUAACACGUGGAUAACCUACCUAUAAGACUGGGAUAACUUCGGGAAACCGGAGCUAAUACCGGAUAAUAUUUUGAACCGCAUGGUUCAAAAGUGAAAGACGGUCUUGCUGUCACUUAUAGAUGGAUCCGCGCUGCAUUAGCUAGUUGGUAAGGUAACGGCUUAACAAGGCAACGAUGCAUAGCCGACCUGAGAGGGUGAUCGGCCACACUGGAACUGAGACACGGUCCAGACUCCUACGGGAGGCAGCAGUAGGGAAUCUUCCGCAAUGGGCGAAAGCCUGACGGAGCAACGCCGCGUGAGUGAUGAAGGUCUUCGGAUCGUAAAACUCUGUUAUUAGGGAAGAACAUAUGUGUAAGUAACUGUGCACAUCUUGACGGUUCCUAAUCAGAAAGCCACGGCUAACUACGUG